GACGUGUCUGGGACAGUGGUACCCACCCGAAAUCCAGGCAGUCAGAAGGUUGAGGCAGGAGGAUCACGACUUCAAGUUCAUCCUGGGCUCUGCAGUGAUUUUUGGUCAAGUCUGAACCACACAGUGAGACUUUAUCUCGUUUCUCCUCACGAGGAACAAGACCAGCAAAUGUAUUACUUUAUUCUCCUGUUUCUGGGAUGAAAUAUCUGAAUAGCAGUGGCCUCAAGGAAGAAGGAUUUCUCUGAGCUCAUGGUUUCAUGGUGGGGAAGGCAUGGCUGGGACUCUAUCACAGUGACAGAAGUUGGAAAAGGGACCCGUGCAUCUUGGUGCAUCAGGAAGCAGAGACCCCAGGCCAAGUAAGCAUGUUUGACGUAACCCUUUAGCCCCUCUCUAAGCUAGCUAGGGCCAGCUAGCUCAUAGAUCAAAAGUUCUACUACAUCUUACAACCAUAGACACCAGUUGGGGGAUCAAGUAUUCAAACAAGAGCAAGAAACAGGAGUUAGGGUGGCUUCAGAGGUUCCUGGCUUAGGGAUCAGCAGUCGUCCAGGAGAGAAGGGAUGAGACUGGUCUAGAAGCAGAUGGAGUUAGAGUUAAGAGCACAGUGUGAGGCCUCUGGCUGACACUGCAGUGACUCCCUUUUCCUAGAUCCCAGGCUGAGCUGAGUUUGGAUUGCUCAAACUUAUGUCCUGGAGAGAGCUGAAGUUAGAUCUACUGGUUUCUUUUCUAGUUGCUAUGACAAAAUACCAGACAAAAGCAAGUUGAAAAGAAGAAAGGUUUGUUUUGGCUCACAGCUGUAGUUCAUUGCAGCAGACAGGUAUGAGAGAGCUGACCAUUUUGUUUCCACUGUCAAGAAGCCGAGAGAGGUGAAUGCUCACACUCAGCUUGCUUUCUCUGCUGUAUUUAGCCAAGCACCCUGUCCUGCUGACCCCUGCUGCUCACAUUCAGAUAGGGGCUUCCCACCUCAGUUAACCCAGUGUGGAAAAUUUCUUCCAGUGGUGAACAGAGAUUUGAUUCCUAGGUGUUUCUAGAUCCCAUCAAGGUGGAAAUCAGUAUUAACCAUCACUGUCUUAUUCCAAAACAGAUGAGCCAAUAGGACAUUUUACACAAGAAAUUCUACACCUUUCUCUUUGAGUGAUCACACAGGGGAGUUGACCAACCUGUUCAUGUUAGCAGGUUGGGAAGCCCCCAUCCCAUACUGUGUACCACGUCCUUCCAACACCCACCUCACAUGCCACAAUACCUGCCAGCAGAUUCUCUCUGAUGGUCCCUGUUCUUGGAGGAAUCUUCACUCAGAAGCCAGGCAUUGGAGGGUUUGCUCUGGCAAUCUGAAAUAUGACUAUACAGAACUGGAACCAAGAAUGCCAUAUUUGUUUGAACAUGUGGAAAACCAAGGGCCAUGGAGGGGGAAGGAAUGGGGAGGGAAGGAGAGAGGGAUAUUGAGUGGGUGUAUAGAGGUAGAAAGGUGUGUGUGUGUGUGUGUGUGUGUGUGUGUGUGUGUGUGAUGAAAACAACAAUAUAGAAAUGAAAUAUAGGAUGCAUCCGUGAUGGGGCUGGAGAGCUGGCUCAGGAGCUAGGGCCACACUGGCUGCUCUUGCAGAGGACCAAGAUUUGAUUCCCAGCAUCUACAUGGCAGCUCACAGCUAACCAUAACCCCUGUUCCAGGGGACCCCAUGUUCUUUUCUGGCCUUUUUGGGAACCAGACACACAUGCAGUACGCAGGAAUACACACAGGCAAAACACUCAUACACUUAAAAUUAAAUUAAAAAUCCAAAAGGAAAUGUUUUUAAAGUACAUCAAGUGACAUUCAGGAAGACCUUACAUUCAGAGACCAAGAGUAGCUUAGGGAGUCGGCUCGUUUACAGGAGGCAUCACAGCAAUUAAAACCGUGAUCCUG
rnacentral:lncRNA from 1 species